GACGAACGCUGGCGGCGUGCCUAAUACAUGCAAGUCGAACGCAGUGGGGACGGGUGAGUAACACGUGGGUAACCUCGCAUCAGAGGGGAUAACACUUGGUAACAGGUGCUAAACCGAUACUGAUGGAUGGACCCGCGGUGCAUUAGCUAGUUGGUGAGGAAAUGGCCCACCAAGGCCACGAUGCAUAGCGGACCUGAGGGGGUGUUCGGCAACCCUGGGCCUGGGACACGGCCCAGACUCCUACGGGAGGCAGCAGUGGGGAAUCUUCGGCAAUGAACGAAAGCCUGACCGAGCAACGCGGCGUGAGUGAAGAAGGUUUUCGGAUCGUAAAACUCUGUUGUUAGAGAAGCGGUAUCUAACCAGAAAGCCACGGCUAACUACGUGCCAGCAGCCGCGGUAAUAC
rnacentral:rRNA from 1 species